rnacentral:rRNA from 1 species
AUUGAACGCUGGCGGCAGGCCUAACACGUGCAAGUCGAGCGGAUGAAGGGAGCUUGCUCCUGGAUUCAGCGGCGGACGGGUGAGUAAUGCCUAGGAAUCUGCCUGGUAGUGGGGGAUAACGUCCGGAAACGGGCGCUAAUACCGCAUACGUCCUGAGGGGGAAAGUGGGGGAUCUUCGGACCUCACGCUAUCAGAUGAGCCUAGGUCGGAUUAGCUAGUUGGUGGGGUAAAGGCCUACCAAGGCGACGAUCCGUAACUGGUCUGAGAGGAUGAUCAGUCACACUGGAACUGAGACACGGUCCAGACUCCUACGGGAGGCAGCAGUGGGGAAUAUUGGACAAUGGGCGAAAGCCUGAUCCAGCCAUGCCGCGUGUGUGAAGAAGGUCUUCGGAUUGUAAAGCACUUUAAGUUGGGAGGAAGGGCAGUAAGUUAAUACCUUGCUGUUUUGACGUUACCAACAGAAUAAGCACCGGCUAACUUCGUG